GCCUUCAUGUUGUAGUGGUCAGCACCCUCGACUUGAAACCGAGAGGUCCGGGGUUCGAUUCCCGUCGAAGGCA
rnacentral:tRNA from 1 species